rnacentral:rRNA from 1 species
AAUACGUUCCCGGGCCUUGUACACACCGCCCGUCACACCAUGGAAGUCGAGUGCUCUAGAAGUCGGCCGUUCGGUCGCCCAAAGAGUGCUUGGUAACUGGGGUG